AGUUCCUCAUCUGGACUCACUGGGAGAAGUGAUUCACUAGAAUUCUCAUUGGAAGAAAUGACAGGAAAGCUCCCUCCAAUAUCUCAAUUUCCACCCCACUCAGUACCUGGUUUUAUGAUUCCACACCCUCCUAAUCCAUCCUGCCCUCCUAAUACAUCCCACUCUCGUAAGCCAUCCCACUCUCGUAAGCCAUCCCACUCUCGUGCCCGCGAAUCCCUCCCUCUUCUUCCAUCUGCCAAGCCCCUUCCUCCUCUCCAGAAGUAUGUGGAUUUUUCAGUUUUCUGCCCUAACUGUUAUCCCACUGUGGCUCAUACCUGCCCUCCCCACUACCCUACCCUAAUACUCUACCUGCCCUGCCCUUCUGCUAUUCAUUACAAACCAUCCAUUUGUCAAUGCUCUAGUCCCAGAACUCUUUCUGGUAACUCCCUUAUCGAUCACCCAAGCCCUCCUUCUAGCCCUACUGGUCAACGCUUGGGUCCCAGAACUCUUCCCUGUGAUUCCCUUAUCCGUUCCCCUGUUCCUCCUCCUAGCCCUCCUUGCCAACGCUCUGGUCCCAGAACUCUUUUCUGUGACUACCCUGUCUGUCCCCCUACUCCUCCUCCCAGCCCUACUUGCAAAUGCUGUCGUCCCAGAGCUGUUUCCUGGGACUCCUCUACCUAUGCCUCUACCCCUCCUCCUUAGCCCUACUUCUUUCUAGUACCCUGUACUCUAGUCCCCAGCCCCCAGCCCUGCCAUCCCCAACCAGACCUGAUGGUUCACAAGUCUCAUCUUGGAGAUGGUUUCCCUGCUCCCGGGGCAGUUCUGGAACAGUUCAGGAUGGCCAGGACUGUGGAUUCCCAGCAGUCUGACCUGGUGGACAAAGGAAAUGCAAGACGAUGGCAAACCAGCAUUCAGCCUCAUCUGCUCCUUUCCUCCCCUGCCUUAUCAGCCAGCCUGCAUGAGCCUCUACAUCUGUUCCUGGCUUCUCCAUGGAACUCGGUCUACAGCCACAAAGCAAACCACAGGGCCAGUGACAGAGAGGGCAGAGGGGAGUGUGGAGUGGGAAGCACCUAACCUGUUCUCAAGGAGGGGAAUGAUUGGCCAAGAUGAGCUUCAAUCGUAUGUCCACUACCUCCUGGCCUGCCACUUGGCUGUGAGUCCUUUCUGGGCGGUGUCCAGGGGCGGUUCCAGUGACCAGGCAGGUGCUGAGAAGCACAGGCAGCAGGAUGAGGGGACACUUGCCAGGAGACAGCAUGGGAUGCCAUUGCCUAGAGUUGGCAGAAGGACCAGGAGCAGGCAGGCAGCGAGAGGGCACCCAGAGUGCUCCUGAUCGGACCAAGCUGCAUGGAGGCCACAGUGGGACACCUGAGGGAAAAGGUGACCCAGAUGAGGUCCAUCGGAACCAGAUAUUGUGGGAACUGUCAAACCAGACCAAGAAGUAUGGAGGCCACAGAGGGACACCCCAGGGAGGUGACCCUGGAUAAGGUUCAUCAGAACUAGAUCUUGUGAGAACUACCUGACCAGACCAAGCAGCACAGAGGCCACGGUGAGACACCUGAGGGAGAAGGCGAACCCAGAUAAGGCUCAUCAGGUUCAGAUCUUGUGAGAACUGCAGAAGGCAACCACAGAUGAGGCUCAUCAGAACUAGAUCUUGUGAGAACUGCCUGAGCAGACCAAGCAGCACAGAGGCCACAGUGAGACACAUGAGGGAGAAGGUGAACCCAGAUGAGGCUCAUCAGGAACAGAUCUUGUGGGAACCAGAGAGGACAACCCCGGAUGAGGUCCAUCAGAACCAGAUCUUGUGGGAACUGCACUUCAAAGUGCUACAGACCCACAAACACUACAUGCAGCAUCACAUGAAUGCCCUCUGCAAGGGUGAGGGGCCUGGCAGGAUGGAGGAAAUACCAGAGAGGGGGGAUGCGCCCUGAAAAAAAGGAGAGCCCUGGGGACUGCGGAAGGUGGGGUGUGUGGCUCAUUAAAGGAGAAGAUACCUUCUCACACCCUAACUCCUUUUAUAGACUUUAGGAGCAAUGUCUUUGGAGGGGGCCUCACCUACAUCACAUCAGAUGCAUUAAAUAUAUUAAAAAGCAUUCACAUCUCA
rnacentral:antisense_RNA from 1 species